rnacentral:other from 1 species
GUUUCCCUGCGGUGCUCGUCAAGGUCGUAAUUCCUUUGAACCAAUGUCGAUACGACAUGGUUGCCGACCUCAAAUGCCGCUGUUGUGAGCAGCCCCCGUUGGCUGCGCCUGAUGCGGCUGGAACGCGACCCCCCUGAACCCAGGUUCAGGACACUCGGCCUAACGGCACAUGCGGGGAACCG